rnacentral:rRNA from 1 species
AACGUACGCUGGCGGCACGCCUAACACAUGCAAGUCGAACGAAGUAGCAAUACUUAGUGGCAGACGGGUGAGUAACAUGUAGGUAUCUGCCCUUUGGCCUGGAAUAACACGAGGAAACUUGUGCUAAUACCGGAUAAGUCUUUACGGAGAAAGCUUUAUGCACCAUUGGAUGAGCCUGCACUUGAUUAGUUUGUUGGUGGGGUAAUGGCCUACCAAGACUGUGAUCAAUAGCUGAUUUGAGAGGAUGAUCAGCCACAUUGGGACUGAGACACGGCCCAAACUCCUACGGGAGGCAGCAGUGGGGAAUCUUGCACAAUGGAGGAAACUCUGAUGCAGCGAUGCCGCGUGAGUGAAGAAGGCCUUUGGGUUGUAAAGCUCUUUCGUCGGGGAAGAAAAUGACUGUACCCGAAUAAGAAGGUCCGGCUAACUUCGUGCCAGCAGCCGCGGUAAUACGAAGGGACCUAGCGUAGUUCGGAAUUACUGGGCUUAAAGAGUUCGUAGGUGGUUGAAAAAGUUAGUGGUGAAAUCCCAGAGCUUAACUCUGGAACUGCCAUUAAAACUUUUCAGCUAGAGUAUGAUAGAGGAAAGCAGAAUUUCUAGUGUAGAGGUGAAAUUCGUAGAUAUUAGAAAGAAUACCAAUUGCGAAGGCAGCUUUCUGGAUCAUUACUGACACUGAGGAACGAAAGCAUGGGUAGCGAAGAGGAUUAGAUACCCUCGUAGUCCAUGCCGUAAACGAUGUGUGUUAGACGUUGGAAAUUUAUUUUCAGUGUCGCAGGGAAACCGAUAAACACACCGCCUGGGGAGUACGACCGCAAGGUUAAAACUCAAAUGAAUUGACGGGGACCCGCACAAGUAGUGGAGCAUGUGGUUUAAUUCGAAGAUACGCGCAGAACCUUACCAACACUUGACAUGUUCGUCGCGACUCUAAGAGAUUAGAGUUUUCGGUUCGGCCGGACGAAACACAGGUGCUGCAUGGCUGUCGUCAGCUCGUGUCGUGAGAUGUUGGGUUAAGUCCCGCAACGAGCGCAACCCUCACUUUUAGUUGCCAUCAUUAAGUUGGGCACUCUGAAAGAACUGCCAGUGAUAAGCUGGAGGAAGGUGGGGAUGACGUCAAGUCCUCAUGGCCCUUACGUGUUGGGCUACACACGUGCUACAAUGGUAUCUACAACAGGAAGCAAGACUGCGAAGUUAAGCAAAUCCUUAAAAGAUACCUCAGUUCGGAUUGCACUCUGCAACUCGAGUGCAUGAAGCUGGAAUUACUAGUAAUCGUGGAUCAGCGUGCCACGGUGAAUGCGUUCCCGGGUCU